UACGUAGGGCGCAAGCGUUAUCCGGAAUUAUUGGGCGUAAAGAGCUCGUAGGCGGUUUGUCGCGUUUGCUGUGAAAACGCGAGGCUCAACCUCGCGCCUGCAGUGGGUACGGGCAGACUAGAGUGUGGUAGGGGAGAUUGGAAUUCCUGGUGUAGCGGUGGAAUGCGCAGAUAUCAGGAGGAACACCGAUGGCGAAGGCAGAUCUCUGGGCCAUUACUGACGCUGAGGAGCGAAAGCGUGGGGAGCGAACAGG
rnacentral:rRNA from 1 species